UUUUUGAGAGUUUGAUCCUGGCUCAGGAUAAACGCUGGCGGCGUGCCUUAGGCAUGCAAGUCGAGCGAUCCCG
rnacentral:rRNA from 1 species